CUGGUUGGUGGGGUAAGAGCCUACCAAGGCGACGAUCGGUAGCUGGUCUGAGAGGACGAUCAGCCACACUGGGAUUGAGAACGGCCCAGACUCCUACGGGGGGCAGCAGUGAGGAAUUUUCCGCAAUGGACGAAAGUCUGACGGAGCAACGCCGCGUGCAGGAGGACGCUUUUCGGAGUGUAAACUGCUUUUCUGUGGGAAGAGCAAGGACGGUACCACAGGAAGAAGCCCCGGCUAACUACGUGCCAGCAGCCGCGGUAAUACGUAGGGGGCGAGCGUUGUCCGGAGUUACUGGGCGUAAAGGGCAUGCAGGCGGUCGGACGCGUUUUGUGUGACAGCGGGCGGCUUAACUACCCGAGUAUGCGAAAGACGGUUCGACUUGAGGGCUCGAGAGGGACACGGAAUUCCGGGUGGAGUGGUGAAAUGCGUAGAGAUCCGGAGGAACACCGAAGGCGAAGGCAGUGUCCUGGCGAGCGACUGACGCUGAGGUGCGAAAGCUAGGGGAGCGAACGGGAUUAGAUACCCCGGUAGUCCUAGCCGUAAACGAUGACCACCAGGUGUGGGAGGUAUCGACCCCUUCCGUGCCGGAGUAAGCACACUAAGUGGUCCGCCUGGGGAGUACGGUCGCAAGAUUAAAACUCAAAGGAAUUGACG
rnacentral:rRNA from 1 species